GUCAUACGGCGUAUAUUUUGUUGUAGUCACCAAGGGGUACGGGAUCGUAGAGCUAAGCCGGUUGAAGAAAGGAAAAGGAACCAAGCUCAUACAAGGGCAAAUUGUAAUGAAAACAUGGAUGAGGGAUAUGCACGGCAAAGCGCAAAAAGUUCUCCUUACAGAUCAAGAAUCAGCUAUUGGAAGUGCUAUUGCACAUGUUCUACCAGGUAUCUAGAGUUGGAUAUGCGCAUAAACACCGGACAGUGAUAUUUGACUCUUUCAACAAGAGCGCUCAAUGCAGUUGUCUACUAUACGAGUUUGUUGGUUAUUUGUGGAGACACAUCUUAAAGGUUUUCGUAGUCGAGAAUGUUCAAAAUCUUCCAACUCAACAUGUUCUAAAACGGUGGACCAAAGAUGCUAAAUUUGGACCGGUGGUGUUUGACCAAGGUGAAGAAAUUGCAGCUGAUUGUCAGGAUAUGGUUACAGUUAGAUACAGUAAACUUUGUCAAGAUGCGACCAAUAUUGCAGUUAAAGGUUCGACAUCAAUCCCGGUGUACAACGUGGCAGUACAAGCGUUACAUAAAGCUUUAAAAGAAAUCGAGGAAGCUAUAAAAUCCUCCUAAGUAAACCCAGAUGGACAACCUGACGUUACAUAGUAUGAGGAUAUUACAAGACAAAAGGAAAUUGUAGAAAACCAUCCGAACUUUCGAAGACCCUUGAAAGAACCACCAAUUGUAAAGCGUAAAGGCAAACCUGGUAGAAGGAAGUCAUGGGUUGAUGCGCUCAAUAGGAAACGAAAGAACAAGGAAAUAAAGGGGAAAACAGGAUCAGGAAGUUCACCAAGGUUGCCAACAGUUGAAUUGGAGAUCGCGAACUCUCAAGAUAAACAACCGAAAAAAAGGAAAAAGAAAAAAUCAGUUGCAUUGGUUAAUACCAACUCUCAAGACAAGCAACAAAAGAAAAGAAAAAAAUCAUCAAAUAAGGGAAGUUUCACUGAAAUAAGCAGUCAUCAACCUGAAAAUGCUGACAUCCGACACCAACCAAACAAAAUUGAUCUUAAUAUUUACUGGUCAUAGUUGGGAUUUAGCUAUUUGAAUGGAAGUAAGAUUCCUCCGAGAGAGAAGCGUAGGUUCUUGAAGAAUGAUGAUGCUGGUAUCAUUGAUAUGCUUCCAUCCAAGCCCACAUUUGUUACCGACGACGGAAGGAAG